UCAUCCUAAUGACAAAAUCGUAGGCAUAGCAAGAGGUAUUUCUCUAGUUCGGGCUUCUCUGAUUCAUAAUAGUAGAACAGAUCCAAUUAUUUCUUACAACAGACCUGUGUUCAAGGAAUGGGCGGUUUUUAAGCAAAAACAACCUUUAGGUCGUUUUGGUCCUCAUUAUUACACACCUGACGGUGAGGAAGAUGUCAUACUUAUAACGUAC
rnacentral:lncRNA from 1 species